rnacentral:rRNA from 1 species
CAGGGCUUUGCAAACGCUGUCGGACUAGCACUUGCUCAGAAACACCUAGCUGCUCGUUUCAACAAGCCUGAUUUAACUGUCGUCGACCACUACACGUAUGUUAUACUUGGGGAUGGCUGUCAAAUGGAAGGUGUUGCGAAUGAGGCUGCUUCCCUUGCUGGCCACUGGUGUCUCCGAAAGCUGAUUGCCUUCUAUGAUGAUAAUCAUAUAUCAAUCGAUGGAAGUACGGGUAUUGCUUUCACUGAAGAUGUGCUUGCCCGAUAUGAGGCCAUAGGAUGGCAUACUAUCUGGAAUGGCCACACUGGCUAUGAUGUCAUCCGUGCAGCAAUAAAAGAAGCAAAGGAAGUCAAAGAUAAGCCAACUCUUAUCAAGACAACUACUACAAUUGGUUAUGGAUCUCCAAACAAGGCAAGCACACGCAGUAUCCAUGGGAGCGCUUUAGGUUCCAAAGAAGUAGGCAACCAGAAAAAAUGUUUCCUGGGCUCAUGA